GUAAUUAAAGUAAAAAUAUAUUUUUAAAAGAUAAUUUCAAAUUUCAGUGCAAACUAGCAUGGAUUCACCCCUUUUCUUUGUAACAUUUUUUCUAAGGUUGGAAAAGUAAGGUAGGCUUUAGUACGAUUUUUAAUAAUAAGUUUUCAAAGUGAGAUGCAAAAUGGUGGCGCCAACACAUUUCAAGUCUGCUACAUUUUGAAGACACUUAUUGGAGAAAAGACCUUCUCAUCAUUUUUCUCUUACAGGAAAGGAAAUAAUAUGUACAGUUGACCCUUAAGCAACACGGAGGUUGGGGUGCUGGCCCCACUGCACAAUAGAAAAUCCACUAUAACUUUGACUCCCCCAAAACUUAACUACUAAUAGCCUACUGUAAGCCUUACAAAUAACACAAGCAGUCAAUUAACACAUAUUUAAUAUGUUAUAUGUCUUAUAUACUGUAUUCUUAACAAACAUGCCAGAGAAAAGAAAAAGAAAAUCAUAAGGAAAAUAUAUUUACUAGUUAUUAAAUGGAAGUAGAUGAUCAGACAGGUCUUCAUCCUCAUCCUUUUCAUGGGCAGGCUGUGGAGAAGGAUGUAGAAUUGUUGGUUUUGCUAAGUGGACCUGCACAGUUCAAACCCCUGUGGUGUAAAGGCCACCUGUAUAGCCAUUGAAUAGCAAUUUAUUUUUAGAAAUUAACCUCACUAAAAUACUCUUAGAAGGAUGCCAAGAAAAAAAAUGAAUAAGUAUUUUUGGUUCAUCUAUUUCAUCAUUUCAUUUCAUUUCCUCAUUUCCUCAUUUCAUCUCAUUUCAUGUCAUCAUUUCAUCAUUUCAUCACAUUUCAUUUCAUCAUUUCACUUCAUCUCAUUUAUUCAUUUCAUCUCAUGAUUUCAUUUCAUCUCAUCAUUUCAUCUUUUCAUCUCAUCAGUUCAUCUUUUCAUCUCAUUGCAUUUCAUUUCAUCAUUUCAUCAAUUCAUUUUAUUUCAUUUAUUUCAUCAUUUCAUUUCACCAUUUCAUCAUUUCAUCAUUUGACUUCAUUUCAUCAUUUCAUUUCAUCAUUUCAUAUCAUCAUUUCAUCACUUCAUCUUUUCAUCAUUUCACUUCAUAAUUUCAUCAUUUCAUUUCAUCCUUUCAUCAUUUCAUCUCAUCAUUUCAUCCUUUCAUUUCAUUAUUUCAUUUCAUCAUUUCAUCUCAUCAUUUGCAUUUCAUCAUUUCAUCAUUUCACUUCAUCUCAUCAUUUCAUCAUUUCAUCUUGAUUUCAUUUCAUCUCAUCAUUUCAUCUCAUGAUUUCAUCUCAUCAAUUCAUUUCACCUUUUCAUCUCCUCAUUUCAUUAUUUCAUUUCAUCUUUUCAUCUCGUCAUUCAUUUCAUUUCAUCAUUUCAAUUCAUUUCAUUUCCUCAUUUCAUUUCAUCAUUUCAUCAUUUCACUUCAUCAUUUCAUUCCAUCAUUUCAUAUCAUUUCUUCAUUUCACCAUUCCAUCAUUUCAUCAUUUCACUUCAUUUCAUUUCCUCAUUUCAUUCCAUUUCAUCAUUUCAUUUCAUUUCUUCAUUUCAUCAUUUCAUUUCAUCAUUUAAUUUCAUUUCAUCAUUUCAUCAUUUCAUUUCAUUUCAGUGAUACAUGUAUUUAAGUGCUAAUGCGAUGCCCAGGAGACAGCCUAUUUCCUUGUAAAACACCUCCUUCAACAAAAGGCAACCUCUCAUGGCUGGCUAAGUCUACAGGGAUACCAGCCUCUCUUCAACCACUCAAUUUCAUUUAGAACCUCAAACAGCACCUCAGUUUCAUAAAAACCUAAAACAUAAACACAACACUUGGUUGUAAGUGAGGCAACAGUUUCUUGUCUCUUUCUCUGCUCAAGGCUUAAGGCCAUGUCUCCCCAACUACGUUCAGUGGAAGAAAAGAUCCCCUGGACAAGUAAGUUUGAGAACUGUUGUUGCAGGACUUCUCAGAACCUUUAAAACACAAAUCCUCAUCUGCAGGGAUCUUCAGGAGGGAGAUGGCUGAUGCAGCACAACUUUCUUUCACAGGAGCAUCUUGCAGAAUACAGUAUGAGAUACAGAAAGGCUGCAUUGAGUCUUUUUAAGGGCCCGGGCCUUGGUGGGGGUGGGGUAGGAGCUCUCCAGAUAGCAUCUAAUGAGUAGGAACAUUCAGGUUGCUUUUUUUCCCCCUUAUUGGCAAAACUGUGUGUGCACCAUGAACGAAGCUGGUCUCCCUUAUCCAUAUCAAAACUAAACCCAAAUUAAUUGGCUAAAUUGGGACUCAACACCUCCAGGAGCCACGCAGAAGAAAGCCCCACCACACUUUAAAGUAGCUUACCUCAUCAUAUUUGACGAAAGCAAAACGCUUAUGACCAGUAUGCUGCUAAUACAAGUCUACAGAUAAUACUGUAGGAAAAAUUAUUUUUCCCAAUCAUAGCUGGCAUAGUCAACAUUUUGCAUUACACUUUCCCCCCUCUUUUAAAAUUUGAAACACAGGUCUUUUCCUCUUCUUUUAUUAAAUUUUAAUUUAAUUAUACAAGACAGAGUCUCAGUAUGUUGCCCAGGCUGGUCUUCAACUCCUGAGCUCAAGCGAUACAUCUGUCUCUGCCUCCCAAAGUGCUGAGAUUACAGGCCUGAGACACUGUGCCCGGCCUUAAACACAAAUCUUAUUUCAUUCUUACAAUUAUCCUGAGGUUAGAAAAAUGGAAGGGGAAGAAAAAUGGCAAGCAGGUAGGCUGACUUCGGCUUCAUUAUUUGGAAGGACAGUUUGCUCGGUUAAAACACACUACUGCCCACAAAAGCCAAGACAACAGAAAAAUACAGACUUAUAUAAAUAGGUUUUAUAUGUGACAGCAGUUUAAAUGGAGACUUUUUCAAUGAAAAUGACAAACAGCUGUGCUUGGGAAUAAAUGGCAACGAAUUUUUUAUCUCAAUAGCUGUCCUGAAAGCACGUCUCUACAUCUCUACCUGCAUUCUGGAAUCAGGGAGAAAGCCAAAAUGGACGACAAGACCCUAGAUCAGCCGUGUCCAACCCUUUGAGUACAAGGACUUUUCCGCCUAUCUGUGGUGGUGGGUAUCAUGAAAAUUAUGCACAAACCUUCUUUUUUUUUUUUUAAGCUCAUCAGCUAUCGUUAGCAUUAGUGUAUUUUAUGUGCGGCCCAGGAGCAUUCUUCUUCCAAUGUGGCCCUGAGAAGCCAAAAGACUGGACACCUGUGCACUAGAUCAAAAGGCUACU
rnacentral:lncRNA from 1 species